rnacentral:rRNA from 1 species
GGGGAAUAUUGGACAAUGGGGGCAACCCUGAUCCAGCAAUGCCGCGUGUGUGAAGAAGGUCUUCGGAUUGUAAAGCACUUUCGACGGGGACGAUGAUGACGGUACCCGUAGAAGAAGCCCCGGCUAACUUCGUGCCAGCAGCCGCGGUAAUACGAAGGGGGCUAGCGUUGCUCGGAAUGACUGGGCGUAAAGGGCGUGUAGGCGGUUUACACAGUCAGAUGUGAAAUCCCCGGGCUUAACCUGGGAGCUGCAUUUGAUACGUGUAGACUAGAGUGUGAGAGAGGGUUGUGGAAUUCCCAGUGUAGAGGUGAAAUUCGUAGAUAUUGGGAAGAACACCGGUGGCGAAGGCGGCAACCUGGCUCAUGACUGACGCUGAGGCGCG